rnacentral:rRNA from 1 species
GACGAACGCUGGCGGCGUGCUUAACACAUGCAAGUCGAACGGAAAGGCCCUGCUUUUGUGGGGUGCUCGAGUGGCGAACGGGUGAGUAACACGUGAGUAACCUGCCCUUGACUUUGGGAUAACUUCAGGAAACUGGGGCUAUUAUCGGAUAGGAGCUCCUGCUGCACGGGGGGGGUUGGAAAGUUUCGGCGGUUGGGGAUGGACUCGCGGCUUAUCAGCUUGUUGGUGGGGUAGUGGCUUACCAAGGCUUUGACGGGUAGCCGGCCUGAGAGGGUGACCGGCCACAUUGGGACUGAGGUACGGCCCAGACUCCUACGGGAGGCAACAGUGGGGAAUAUUGCACAAUGGGCGGAAGCGUGAUGCAGCAACGCCGCGAGCGGGAAGACGGGCUUCGGGUUGUAAACCGCUUUCGCCUGUGACGAAGCGUGAGUGACGGUAAUGGGUAAAGAAGCACCGGCUAACUACGUG